rnacentral:rRNA from 1 species
GACGAACGCUGGCGGCGUGCUUAACACAUGCAAGUCGAACGGAAAGGCCCUGCUUGCAGGGUACUCGAGUGGCGAACGGGUGAGUAACACGUGGGUGAUCUGCCCUGCACUUCGGGAUAAGCCUGGGAAACUGGGUCUAAUACCGGAUAGGAGCCAUUUUUAGUGUGAUGGUUGGAAAGUUUUUUCGGUGUAGGAUGAGCUCGCGGCCUAUCAGCUUGUUGGUGGGGUAAUGGCCUACCAAGGCGGCGACGGGUAGCCGGCCUGGGAGGGUGGACGGCCACAUUGGGACUGAGAUACGGCCCAGACUCCUACGGGGGGCAGCAGUGGGGAAUAUUGCACAAUGGGCGCAAGCCUGAUGCAGCGACGCCGCGUGGGGGAUGACGGCCUUCGGGUUGGAAACUCCUUUCGCUAGGGACGAAGCUUUUUGUGACGGUACCUAGAGAAGAAGCACCGGCUAACUACGUG